ACGACUACUACCAAGAGGCCGGCUCUUUCUUCACCCGUACCGACAACACCCUCCUUGACAUCCAGAAUACGUAAGCGGAACAUGGACGACUCCUGGAACAGCAACAAAAAUGGAACUAGGACCACGCCACUGCAGUACAAGAACUGAGACAAGACACCACGACGAUGAACGACAACAUCACCACCAUGAUGCGAUUCUGGAACAUUGGGUA
rnacentral:lncRNA from 1 species